rnacentral:rRNA from 1 species
GAUGGACGCUGGCGGCGUGCCUAAUACAUGCAAGUCGAGCGGCAGCACGGUCUUCGGACUGGUGGCGAGCGGCGGACGGCUGAGUAACGCGUAGGAACGUACCCCAAAGUGAGGGAUAAGCACCAGAAAUGGUGUCUAAUACCGCAUGUGCUCUACGGAGUAAAGCUUUUGCGUUUUGGGAGCGGCCUGCGCAUGAUUAGCUAGUUAGUGAGGUAAUAGCUCACCAAGGCGAUGAUCAUUAGCUGGUCUGAGAGGAUGACCAGCCACACUGGGACUUAGACACGGCCCAAACUCCUACGGGAGGCAGCAGUGGGGAAUCUUGCGCAAUGGGCGAAAGCCUGACGCAGCCAUGCCGCGUGGAUGAUGAAGGUCUUAGGAUUGUAAAAUCCUUUCACCGGUGAAGAUAAUGACUGUAGCCGGAGAAGAAGCCCCGGCUAACUUCGUGCCAGCAGCCGCGGUAA